CCUUGUUCUUUAAUGGGGACCUGUAUGAAUGGCACGACGAGGGCUCUACUGUCUCCUCUUUCCAGUCAAUGAAAUUGAUCUCCCCGUGCAGAAGCGGGGAUACUACCAUAAGACGAGAAGACCCUAUGAAGCUUUAGACGCCAAGACAGAUUACGUUAAACAACCCUUAUAAAGGAAUAAACAUAGUAACCCCUGUCCGAAUGUCUUUGGUUGGGGCGACCGCGGGGAAACAAAUAACCCCCAUGUGGACUAGGAGAACUAAUUCUCCUACAACCCAGAGCGACGCUCUAAGUAACAAAAGCAUUCCCCUUUUAGAGUCCCUAUCGACAAGGGGGUUUACGACCUCGAUUUUGGAUCAGGACAUCCUAAUGGUGCACCCCCUAUAAAGGGUUCGUUUGUUCAACGAUAAAGGUCCUACUUGAUCUGAGUUCAAACCAGAGGUCA
rnacentral:rRNA from 1 species